AUUGAACGCUGGCGGCAUGCCUUACACAUGCAAGUCGAACGGUAACGGGCCUUCGGGUGCCGACGAGUGGCGCACGGGUGAGUAAUACAUCGGAACGUGCCCGAUCAUGGGGGAUAACGAGGCGAAAGCUUUGCUAAUACCGCAUACGAUCUACGGAUGAAAGCAGGGGACCGCAAGGCCUUGCGCGGACGGAGCGGCCGAUGGCAGAUUAGGUAGUUGGUGGGAUAAAAGCUUACCAAGCCGACGAUCUGUAGCUGGUCUGAGAGGAUGAUCAGCCACACUGGGACUGAGACACGGCCCAGACUCCUACGGGAGGCAGCAGUGGGGAAUUUUGGACAAUGGGCGCAAGCCUGAUCCAGCCAUGCCGCGUGCAGGAUGAAGGCCUUCGGGUUGUAAACUGCUUUUGUACGGAACGAAAAGCCUUCUUUUAAUACAGGAGGGUCAUGACGGUACCGUAAGAAUAAGCACCGGCUAACUACGUG
rnacentral:rRNA from 1 species